GCCUAAGUAAAGUAAGUAAGUGGCUAGCAUCUUUAGAGGAUCUGAUGGUAGUAAAGCAAGUGGAGCAUAUACCUGUAUGUAUAUAUAUUAUACUAGGGCUGUGCACGUAUUCAUUUUCUAAAUUGGGAUUUGUCUGAUUCGGUGUUUUUAUUUACUGUUUCAGCCAUAAGUGCACAGGCAGCAUGAGAAUUUUUUUCCAGCCACAACAAAUAAUGUGGCAUUGGAAUCUGGGUGGUUUUACCUGUAUUCAGGUGACCAAAGGCAACCUCAUGGCAUGCAAAGUAGCAGCCAUAGCACACAAGGGGUUUCCCAUGGCCCCUGCUGUCUGAGCCAAUUGUAAGAAGGAACCGUUUGCACUCAUUUCAAUGCCUUAGCUGCUUUGGAUCACUUUUUGCCAUUAUUUCAGUAACUUCUUUCCUUCAAGAAGCAAUUAAAAACAUUCAUUUGCACGUUGGCUUUUGGCAGGACCAGAGAAGGAAAAGAGAAGAAUGGCCAGAACACUGGUUAGUAAGUGGAUCUAUGAACCCAGUGAAACUUUUUAAAGCCACACAUUUAUUUGUGAAUGCAACUAUUGUUGCAAAAGAUUUUGAUAAAAUAUAGUGAUUCAAGGAUGACAGAUUUUCAAGUAUUUUAUCAUUCUCAUCGUUGUGUGCCGUCAAGUUGUUUCAAACUUAUGGUGACCCUUAGGUGACACUAUCUUUAUCUAAAUAUGCUAAAGCAUAUCUAAAUAUCUAAAUAUGCUAAGGCAUCAGAUCCCAUCCGAUCUUGGAAACUAAGUAGGAUCAGCACUGGUUAGGACUUGGCUGGGACAUCACCAACAAAAUGCAAGGUGAUAUAGUCUGUCUUUCAAAGGAAGAAACUGGCAAAAAAAAAAAAACCCAACUCUGAUUCAGGCUCUGCUCUCCAGAGCCAUAGUUCAGUCCUGAAACCAUAACACUACGCUGGUGCUUGUAUUGUUCUGUUUGACAGAUUCUAAGUCAUGCUUCUAACACAUUGAUUUUUCCUCUUUCUUUCUCCCCAGAAAGAUGAAAUUUCACAAGCAAAAGGUAUAAACUUUCUCAUUGCAUAGCUAGUGCUACUAUCUAGGGAUUGAUGACUCUCAUAAUAUUUUACCUUAUGUGAUAAGGAAACUGUAAACAAAUACAUAUCCCUCAUUACUAAUAUAUUUUCAAAUUCUGUGUUGACUCUGCAUAUAUCACAGAUAAACAACUUUUUGUGUGUCCUG
rnacentral:lncRNA from 1 species